rnacentral:rRNA from 1 species
CCUAAGGUAGCGAAAUUCCUUGUCGGGUAAGUUCCGACCCGCACGAAAGGCGUAACGAUUUGGGCACUGUCUCAACGAUGGACUCGGUGAAAUCAUAGUACCUGUGAAGAUGCAGGUUACCCGCGACAGGACGGAAAGACCCCAUGGAGCUUUACUGUAGCUUGAUAUUGAAUUUUGAUGCAGUAUGUACAGGAUAGGUAGGAGCCUAGGAAUCAUGCACGCCAGUGUAUGAGGAGGCGCUGUUGGGAUACUACCCUUGCUGUAUUGAAAUUCUAACCCUCGGCAAAGACCGGGAGACAGUGUCAGGUGGGCAGUUUGACUGGGGCGGUCGCCUCCCAAAGAGUAACGGAGGCGUUCAAAGGUUCCCUCAGAAUGGUUGGAAAUCAUUUGCAGAGUGUAAAGGCACAAGGGAGCUUGACUGUGAGACUUACAAGUCGAGCAGGUGCGAAAGCAGGACUUAGUGAUCCGGUGGUUCCGCAUGGAAGGGCCAUCGCUCAACGGAUAAAAGCUACCCUGGGGAUAACAGGCUUAUCUCCCCCAAGAGUUCACAUCGACGGGGAGGUUUGGCACCUCGAUGUCGGCUCAUCGCAUCCUGGGGCUGUAGUCGGUCCCAAGGGUUGGGCUGUUCGCCCAUUAAAGCGGUACGCGAGCUGGGUUCAGAACGUCGUGAGACAGUUCGGUCCCUAUCCGUCGUGGGCGUAGGAAAUUUGAGAGGAGCUGUCCUUAGUACGAGAGGACCGGGAUGGACGUAUCAAUGGUGUACCAGUUGUCACGCCAGUGGCAUAGCUGGGUAGCUAAAUACGGAAGGGAUAAGAGCUGAAAGCAUCUAAGCAUGAAGCCCCCCUCGAGAUGAGAUUUCCCACGGAUAUUAAGACCCCUUGAAGACGACAAGGAGAAUAGGUUAGGAGUGUAAGUGUGGUAACACAUGUAGCUGACUAAAACUAAUAGGUCGAGGACUUAAUCAA